UUUGUCGCGUCUGCUGUGAAAACCUGGGGCUUAACCCCGGGCCUGCAGUGGGUACGGGCAGACUAGAGUGUGGUAAGGGAGACUGGAAUUCCUGGUGUAGCGGUGAAAUGCGCAGAUAUCAGGAGGAACACCGGUGGCGAAGGCGGGUCUCUGGGCCAUAACUGACGCUGAGGAGCGAAAGCGUGGGGAGCAAACAGGAUUAGAUACCCUGGUAGUCCACGCCGUAAACGUUGGGCGCUAGGUGUGGGGCUCUUUCCACGAGUUCCGUGCCGCAGCUAACGCAUUAAGCGCCCCGCCUGGGGAGUACGGCCGCAAGGCUAAAACUCAAAGGAAUUGACGGGGGCCCGCACAAGCGGCGGAGCAUGCGGAUUAAUUCGAUGCAACGCGAAGAACCUUACCAAGGCUUGACAUGGGGCGAAAACUGGCAGAGAUGUCAGGUCCGCAAGGGCGCUUCACAGGUGGUGCAUGGUUGUCGUCAGCUCGUGUCGUGAGAUGUUGGGUUAAGUCCCGCAACGAGCGCAACCCUCGUUCUAUGUUGCCAGCACGUAAUGGUGGGGACUCAUAGGAGACUGCCGGGGUCAACUCGGAGGAAGGUGGGGAUGACGUCAAAUCAUCAUGCCCCUUAUGUCUUGGGCUUCACGCAUGCUACAAUGGCCAGUACAAAGGGCUGCGAGACCGUAAGGUGGAGCGAAUCCCAAAAAGCUGG
rnacentral:rRNA from 1 species